rnacentral:misc_RNA from 2 species
AACGCACCUUGCGCCCUUUGGACAUUCCGAAGGGCAUGCCUGUUUGAGUAUCAUGAACACCUCAACUCUUUAUGGUCUUCCAUGAUGAGCUUGGACUUUGGGGGGUUUUGCUGGCCUACAGUCAGCUCCUCUAAAAUGAAUCAGCUUGCCAGUGUUUGGUGGGUAUCAUGGGUGUGAUAACUAUCUACGCUCAUGGUUUUCCACCAGAUAACCUUCAGCGGUGGAGGUUCACUGGAGCUCAUAGAUGUCUCUCCUCAGUGAGGACAGCCCUUUGAAUGUUUGAUCUCAAAUCAGGUAGGACUACCCGCUGAACUUAA